CCUACGGGAGGCUGCAGUGGGGAAUAUUGCACAAUGGGGGGAACCCUGAUGCAGCAACGCCGCGUGGGUGAAGAAGUACUCCGGUAUGUAAAGCCCUGUCAGCAGGGAAGAAAAUGACGGUACCUGACCAAGAAGCCCCGGCUAACUACGUGCCAGCAGCCGCGGUAAUACGUAGGGGGCAAGCGUUAUCCGGAUUUACUGGGUGUAAAGGGAGCGUAGACGGCAAGGCAAGUCUGGAGUGAAAGCCCGUGGCCCAACCACGGGACUGCUUUGGAAACUGUGUUGCUGGAGUGCAGGAGGGGUAAGCGGAAUGCCUAGUGUAGCGGUGAAAUGCGUAGAUAUUACACAGAACACCGAUUGCGAAGGCAGCUUGCUAGGCCGGAUCUGACACUGAUGCACGAAAGCGUGGGGAUCGAACAGGAUUAGAUACCCUUGUAGUC
rnacentral:rRNA from 1 species